rnacentral:tRNA from 1 species
GAAUUUAAGCUUCAUAUAUAAAUAUGAUUAUUUUUCUAGAA